UGCGGAGGGAUCAUUACACAAAUAUGAAGGCGGGCUGGAACCUCUCGGGGUUACAGCCUUGCUGAAUUAUUCACCCUUGUCUUUUGCGUACUUCUUGUUUCCUUGGUGGGUUCGCCCACCACUAGGACAAACAUAAACCUUUUGUAAUUGCAAUCAGCGUCAGUAACAAAUUAAUAAUUACAACUUUCAACAACGGAUCUUUGGUUCUGGCAUCGAUGAAGAACGCAGCGAAAUGCGAUAAGUAGUGUGAAUUGCAGAAUUCAGUGAAUCAUCGAAUCUUUGAACGCACAUUGCGCCCUUUGGUAUUCCAAAGGGCAUGCCUGUUCGAGCGUCAUUUGUCCCUCAAGCUUUGCUUGGUGUUGGGCGUCUUGUCUCUAGCUUUGCUGGAGACUCGCCUUAAAGUAAUUGCAGCCGGCCUACUGGUUUCGGAGCGCAGCACAAGUCGCACUCUCUAUCAGCAAAGGUCUAGCAUCCAUUAGCCUUUUUUCAAACUUUUGACCUCGGAUCAGGUAGGGAUACCCGCUGAACUUAAGCAUAUCA
rnacentral:rRNA from 1 species